UACGUAGGGGGCAAGCGUUGUCCGGAAUUAUUGGGCGUAAAGCGCGUGUAGGCGGCCAGAAAAGUCCGCUGUGAAAACUCGAGGCUCAACUUCGAGCUGUCGGUGGAAACUUUCUGGCUAGAGUCCGGAAGAGGAGAAUGGAAUUCCUGGUGUAGCGGUGAAAUGCGCAGAUAUCAGGAAGAACACCCGUGGCGAAGGCGGUUCUCUGGGCCUGUACUGACGCUGAGGAACGAAAGCGUGGGGAGCGAACAGG
rnacentral:rRNA from 1 species